GACGAACGCUGGCGGCGUGCUUAACACAUGCAAGUCGAACGGAAAGGCCCUGCUUUUGUUGGGUGCUCGAGUGGCGAACGGGUGAGUAACACGUGAGUAACCUGCCCUUGACUUUGGGAUAACUUCAGGAAACUGGGGCUAAUACCGGAUAGGAGCUCCUGCUGCAUGGUGGGGGUUGGAAAGUUUCGGCGGUUGGGGAUGGACUCGCGGCUUAUCAGCUUGUUGGUGGGGUAGUGGCUUACCAAGGCUUCGACGGGUAGCCGGCCUGAGAGGGGGACCGGCCACAAUGGGACUGAGAGACGGCCCAGACUCCUACGGUAGGCAGCAGUGGGGAAUAUUGCACAAUGGGCGGAAGCCUGAUGCAGCAACGCCGCGUGCGGGAUGACGGCCUUCGGGUUGUAAACCGCUUUCGCCUGUGACGAAGCGUGAGUGACGGUAAUGGGUAAAGAAGCACCGGCUAACUACGUG
rnacentral:rRNA from 1 species